rnacentral:rRNA from 1 species
GAUGAACGCUAGCGGCAGGCUUAACACAUGCAAGUCGAGGGGUAUAGUUCUUCGGAGCUAGAGACCGGCGCACGGGUGCGUAACGCGUAUGCAAUCUACCUUUUGCAGAGGGAUAGCCCAGAGAAAUUUGGAUUAAUACCUCAUGGUAUGUGAGAAUGGCAUCAUUUUCACAUUAAAGUCACAACGGCAAAAGAUGAGCAUGCGUCCCAUUAGCUAUUUGGUAAGGUAACGGCUUACCAAGGCAACGAUGGGUAGGGGUCCUGAGAGGGAGAUCCCCCACACUGGGACUGAGACACGGACCAGACUCCUACGGGAGGCAGCAGGGAGGAAUAUUGGACAAUGGGCGCAAGCCUGAUCCAGCCAUGCCGCGUGCAGGAUGACGGUCCUAUGGAUUGUAAACUGCUUUUGUACAGGAAGAAACACUGGUUCGUGAACCAGCUUGACGGUACUGUAAGAAUAAGGAUCGGCUAACUCCGUGCCAGCAGCCGCCGUAAGAC